rnacentral:misc_RNA from 1 species
GAAAUGCGAUAAGUAAUGUGAAUUGCAGAAUUCAGUGAAUCAUCGAAUCUUUGAACGCACAUUGCGCCCGCCAGUAUUCUGGCGGGCAUGCCUGUUCGAGCGUCAUUUCAACCAUCAAGCCCCCGGCUUGUGUUGGGGACCUGCGGCUGCCCGCAGGCCCUGAAAAACAGUGGCGGGCUCGCUGUCACACCGAGCGCAGUAGCAUACAUUCUCGCUCAGGGCGUGCUGCGGGUUCCGGCCGUUAAACGACCUUCAUAACCCAAGGUUGACCUCGGAUCAGGUAGGAAGACCCGCUGAACUUAAGC